GGAAUAUUGGUCAAUGGGCGAGAGCCUGAACCAGCCAAGUAGCGUGCAGGAUGACGGCCCUAUGGGUUGUAAACUGCUUUUAUACAGGGAUAAAGUGACGUACGUGUACGUUUUUGUAGGUACUGUAUGAAUAAGGACCGGCUAAUUCCGUGCCAGCAGCCGCGGUAAUACGGAAGGUCCGGGCGUUAUCCGGAUUUAUUGGGCGUAAAGCGAGCGCAGGCGGUUUGAUAAGUCUGAUGUGAAAGCCUUUGGCUUAACCAAAGAAGUGCAUCGGAAACUGUCAGACUUGAGUGCAGAAGAGGACAGUGGAACUCCAUGUGUAGCGGUGAAAUGCGUAGAUAUAUGGAAGAACACCAGUGGCGAAGGCGGCUGUCUGGUCUGUAACUGACGCUGAGGCUCGAAAGCAUGGGUAGCGAACA
rnacentral:rRNA from 1 species